rnacentral:lncRNA from 1 species
GUUUAGUUUUUUAAAUUAAUGCAUAUUAAUUAUACAGAAUAAUGGGUUGAUUUUCUGUUCUUAUAAAUCUUUCUUUCUUCUUUCAUUGGUCUCUGAUGUCUUCCUGGACUAAUAAAAAGAAGCAAAGAGAACAGGAAAAAGGGAAUAGUUGGUCUUAAAAAGAGAGAAUAAGUAAUUUCCCAAAGGAAGGCAAUAGAGUGUUGGCCCUAGAUUCUUUCAUUCUGGAAGGAAAAGCCUUCAGACUUACUUUUCCAUUAGUGGUACUUUUUGCUGUAUUUUACUUCUGCAAAAAUUAAGUAUCAGUUAAGUGAGAGCCAUGUGCUUCCUUUCUGGAGACAUCUUCAAAGAGAAAAGAAGGGUGGCAAAAAUCAUGACAUUUCACACACUCCGCCCCAGUGGAACCCAUCUUCCUCUGCUGUCUAACUGAAGAACUAGCAAUGCCUUCCAAAGCUAAAGGAAACUCCAGCUCCAUGCAACAGAGAUAAAAGAAGCUGAAGGGAGUAGACAAAUAAAAAGGUAAACCCUUUUCCUUUUGUAUUAGGUUUUGUAGAAAUGAUUUUGAAGAUUUUUUUUUUUGCUUCUCUUUGCUCUAUACUUUGUAUAGUCAAAGCCAAGCCAUGUUUGAAAUGUUCCCUAGAAACACACGCAUGUGA